UACGAAGAGGGCUAGCGUUGCUCGGAAUGACUGGGCGUAAAGGGCGCGUAGGCGGAUGGCACAGUCAGAUGUGAAAUUCCUGGGCUCAACCUGGGGACUGCGCUUGAGACGUGUGGGCUUGAGUGGGGAAGAGGGUCGUGGAAUUCCCAGUGUAGAGGUGAAAUUCGUAGAUAUUGGGAAGAACACCGGUGGCGAAGGCGGCGACCUGGUCCUUGACUGACGCUGAGGCGCGAAAGCGUGGGGAGCAAACAGG
rnacentral:rRNA from 1 species